CGUAGGGUGCGAGCGUUAAUCGGAAUUACUGGGCGUAAAGCGUGUGCAGGCGGUCUGUUAAGACAGGUGUGAAAUCCCCGGGCUUAACCUGGGAAUGGCGCUUGUUACUGGCAGACUAGAGUGCGUCAGAGGGGGGUGGAAUUCCACGUGUAGCAGUGAAAUGCGUAGAGAUGUGGAGGAACACCGAUGGCGAAGGCAGCCCCCUGGGAUGACACUGACGCUCAUACACGAAAGCGUGGGGAGCAAACAGGAUUAGAUACCCUGGUAGUCCACGCCCUAAACGAUGUCAACUGGUUGUUGGGUGACUUGAUCACUUAGUAACGUAGCUAACGCGUGAAGUUGACCGCCUGGGGAGUACGGUCGCAAGAUUA
rnacentral:rRNA from 1 species